AAAAAAAAAAAAAAAAAAAAAAAGCAAAAACUUCACAUAGGGGUGGGGAACGAGGCUUCUGGUGGCAUGAGACUAUUUGUCUGAAUCAAUCUGAAACUGCUUUGACAUGUGCUAAUGGUUGAAACAUAGGUAUCUUGUAGGUGUGUGGCCUGGUGUUCCCCUCCCGCUGUUUACUCUAGUGGCUUGUCUGUCUGAAAGCAAGGAUACCACAAAGCCUCUGCAAGGUCUCUGAGCGUGAUGCAGCCUGCAGACUACAGAGCGCAGCCCCAGGCCAGCCCUGGAAGCUGCUUGGGUAGGACACAAGGUGGUUGGCAGAUUGUAUUUGACCCACACAUACUAAAUUCUGAUAAGAUAAACACCAUUACCCCUUCCUUCUGCGGAAAUGAGACUGAAGACCCACGCAGAGCCCACGCUGAGGACGGUGGAGGGGCCAGGCUGGGAGGGCGGCGGGCCAAGGGGCAGAGGAUGCGACUGGACCACGCUGGCCCUGAAAUCUGAAGGACCUGGGUUCGAAUCCUGACUCUGCUUCACGAGGUUCCAACGUUUUGUUGAAAGUCUGGUCCCUGGCGCUUUUAUCUCUCCGUGUAUAUAAAACGGGACUCUGCAACCCGACCCUGGAUGUCCUCCUUCUGCCAAACCAAGGAUCCAAGAAUAAUACGGACUCUCGCUGUAGAAUUUUGUGAUUAAACUGGGGUGAGAGUAGGUGAUUCCUUAUUUGUUCCUUUAAAAAGUAAACUUCCCUCUUUAUCAAAGUAGAGAGUUGGUAUAGAGUCUGGAAAAUUCAAAAAAGUUUUUUAAAAGGUUACUAUAAGAGAAGAGAUUGAGUACUUAUGUUUUGGCCAAUUUUUUUUCUGAACAUUUAUAUUUUAGGCAAUAAAAUUGUGAUCGUACUGACUAUAAAACUUCUUAACCCACUUUAUUUUUGAGGCAGGGUUUUGUUAUGCAAUACAGUCUGGCCUUGAACCCACUAUGUAGCCCAAGGCUGGCCUCAAAUUCAGAGUGAUCCUCCUGCCUCAGCCUCCUGAGUGCUGGGAUUGCAGGAGUGUGCACCACCAAAUCCCCGACUCUAGUCUAGCCUACUUUAUUAAAGUGUCAUUUUACCAUGAGACUUGCCCCAGAACUUAAAUGUUUGCAGAUAGGAUUGUCUAUGUAUAACCCCAUUAUAUGAACUUCCUUUUCUAUGUUAAAACCGUUCUUGUCAUUGUACAGGCACUUGGUUUGCAGUUUUUAGUAUCCCCAGUGAUGCAACAAUGAGCCUCCUCCCUACUGGUGCCCCAAGGUAGGUUCAACCUCUUCAAGCCAGAGGUUUCUGCUUCGCACCAGGAGUUUCCUAGCAGAAGCCUUCAGGGUAGGAAGGUGGUUUUUAAGAAAAAAAAAAAAAAAAAAAGAAAAAA
rnacentral:lncRNA from 1 species